rnacentral:rRNA from 1 species
AUUGAACGCUGGCGGCAUGCCUUACACAUGCAAGUCGAACGGCAGCGCGGGAGCAAUCCUGGCGGCGAGUGGCGAACGGGUGAGUAAUACAUCGGAACGUGCCCAAACGUGGGGGAUAACGCAGCGAAAGCUGUGCUAAUACCGCAUACGAUCUACGGAUGAAAGCAGGGGAUCGCAAGACCUAGCGCGAAUGGAGCGGCCGAUGGCAGAGUAGGUAGUUGGUGGGGUAAAGGCUCACCAAGCCAACGAUCUGUAGCUGGUCUGAGAGGACGACCAGCCACACUGGGACUGAGACACGGCCCAGACUCCUACGGGAGGCAGCAGUGGGGAAUUUUGGACAAUGGGCGCGAGCCUGAUCCAGCCAUGCCGCGUGCAGGAUGAAGGCCUUCGGGUUGUAAACUGCUUUUGUACGGAACGAAAAGUCUCUUUCUAAUAAAGAGGGAUCAUGACGGUACCGUAAGAAUAAGCACCGGCUAACUACGUGCCAGCCGCCGCGGUAAUAC